rnacentral:rRNA from 1 species
AACGAACGCUGGCGGCAGGCUUAACACAUGCAAGUCGAACGCUCCGCAAGGAGAGUGGCAGACGGGUGAGUAACACGUGGGAACGUACCCUUUACUACGGAACAACUCCGGGAAACUGGAGCUAAUACCGCAUGUGCCCUUUGGGGGAAAGAUGUAUCGGUAAAGGAUCGGCCCGCGUUGGAUUAGCUAGUUGGUGGGGUGAAGGCCUACCAAGGCGACGAUCCAUAGCUGGUCUGAGAGGAUGAUCAGCCACAUUGGGACGGAGACACGGCCCAAACACCUACGGGAGGCAGCAGUGGGGAAUAUUGGAUAAGGGGCGCAAGCAGGUUCCAGCAAUCCGGCGUGUGUGAUGAAGGCCUUAGGGUUGUAAAGCACUAUCACCGGAGAAGAUAAUGGCGGUAUCCGGGGAAGAAGCCCCGGCUAACUGCGUGCCAGCCGCCGCGGUAA